AUUUUUAUAUUAAUAUGUGUUGAAUUUUUUUUCGAGAUUCAUUCAUUUGAAUGUUAUUUUAUAUAUAUAUAGUGAGGUGGAGAUGGAGGCCACACCACAGCAAACACAUGAAAGCCGGUCUGACUGUCUACAUGUGUGUUUAUUUCCAGCUGCUCAUGAAAGGAGAAGGUUCGUUCUUCAAAGAGAUGAAAAGAGCCGCAUGAAAGGAUGAAGGCUCUUCCUGAAAGACCUGCACUCAGGGUGUGUGAAUGAUGGGCAUGGAAAGGCCGAUGUGUAAAUUGAUUUGUGCUGAAGAGAGAUGUCCGAUGGUCUCGUCGGUGACUUCAGCUGCUCUCUGGGAAUCUCACCAAGUGGACGGGUGUCACGCGAAAGGCCUGUUCACAACAACAAGACUUGUUCUCAUCUGAUAGUGAUCGGCACGGACGUGAACAUCCUGGUCCUCCUUCAACCAUUACCAACCACUUUGAUGGCCCUAAGUUCUAGUUGUGCAUCAAACCGUACGGCUCUAUAUCCUCCUCCACGGAUUUCACUACUCCAUCCACCCACCAUCCAUCCGUUUUUGACUCGGCCCAGGAGGAUUAUGCCAUUCUUCACAGGACGAGAUCUCAGCGAGUGGGCAGGAGAGUCAGCAGCGAAGCCCCUAAUGACACAGCGACGCCCACGCACGUCCAAAACCAAUUUUACCCUCACUAAAAGAACAGCCCUCGCACGUUCCCAUGCAUACAAAUGGCCGAUCGAUGCCGGUCACUGACUCUCUGCCCUCUGAGAUUAAGUGAGCUCGGGUCCGGCGGAUCGAUUCCAAUGACAGGUGUUAGAACGGCAGUGACAGACACCGAUAACUCGCUCGUUCCCUUCCAAAAACAAUCCCUGGAAAUGUUGGUUUCCACUCGUAAUCUCAUUAGGGAUGUGAAUGGCUCCCUUUUGAAAGGCGCCGAUGCCAGAGAAGAGGAAGGCGGCAUGGAGAAUGACUAUUGGAUUAGCGUAAUCCAGACGAGAGCUUCAUUGGAGGGCAGCGUUCCAUCUCUUGUGCUGCGGCUGCAGAUAAGGCCGGCAUCUAUUGAAGGCUCUAGUUAGGUGUUUCGCAAUGUAAAGUGACCUGCUUUUGAAUAGAGCGCAACAGUCGGGCUCCGGAAGUAAAACCUCCAUUCAUUUUCUCCAAAAGGAAAAGUGAUUUUUAACAAUAACUUAUAAAACCUUUGAAGACAGACCUGUUGUGAGUUCAGAUGUUGUUAAUCAAUGAGGUUGAAAAACUACAUUACCCAUGAUGCUGUGCAGAAAUUUCCACCAAUCAGAGAGUCGCGGUAAGCACAUCGCAACAAAACUGGUGCGUUCGACAUGAAGUAGCGAUGCGGCGAACGAUUGGUGUAUGACGCGAGAGCGAUUCAAAAGCAUACCGAGCACCAUCAAAGGACUCUUACAGUGAAUUAUGGGUAUUUUCUAGCCGUUGAGCAUACAUCGGUUGAACACUCGUUGUUGUGGUGCAUUAUGGGAUUGAAUGAGUGCAUUCAAAAACAUCCACUAUGGUUUCGAACACCACUACACUUGGUUGUACCCUCAAAUAGUGCCCUAUUUAAGGAUACAGGGGGAGAUAUCAGAUACAGCCAAACACACCUAAAAGCUCUUUAGCUCCACCCACUCCCAUCAUGCACCACGAAUGAUGUAAUCGAGUCUCCCUAUGCUCUCAAAAUAUAUGUACAUAAUAUAUAUAUGCAUAUUUUGCAUAAAACUUUAACAACAUAUAAUAUACAACAUAUAAUCAACAACUUUAAAUAAAUAGUUUUAUAUUUCACUAUCGUUUUUUAAUUGCAAUG